rnacentral:rRNA from 1 species
UACGGGGGGGGUAAGCGUUGUUCGGAAUUACUGGGCGUAAAGGCUCGUAGGCGGCCAACUAAGUCAGACGUGAAAUCCCUCAGCUUAACUGGGGAACUGCGUCUGAUACUGGAUGGCUUGGAUUCGGGAGAGGAAUGCGGAAUUCCAGGUGGUAGCGGUGAAAUGCGUAGAUAGUCUGGAGGAACACCGGUGGCGAAGGCGGCAUUCUGGACCGAUAUUGACGCUGAGGAGCGAAAGCCAGGGGAGCAAACGGG